rnacentral:rRNA from 1 species
GACGAACGCUGGCGGCGUGCCUAAUACAUGCAAGUUGAGCGCUGAAGGUUGGUACUUGUACCAACUGGAUGAGCAGCGAACGGGUGAGUAACGCGUGGGGAAUCUGCCUUUGAGCGGGGGACAACAUUUGGAAACGAAUGCUAAUACCGCAUAAAAACUUUAAACACAAGUUUUAAGUUUGAAAGAUGCAAUUGCAUCACUCAAAGAUGAUCCCGCGUUGUAUUAGCUAGUUGGUGAGGUAAAGGCUCACCAAGGCGAUGAUACAUAGCCGACCUGAGAGGGUGAUCGGCCACAUUGGGACUGAGACACGGCCCAAACUCCUACGGGAGGCAGCAGUAGGGAAUCUUCGGCAAUGGACGAAAGUCUGACCGAGCAACGCCGCGUGAGUGAAGAAGGUUUUCGGAUCGUAAAACUCUGUUGGUAGAGAAGAACGUUGGUGAGAGUGGAAAGCUCAUCAAGUGACGGUAACUACCCAGAAAGGGACGGCGAACUACGG